CCAUCACCACCCUCAGUUAAGAGAGAUGAUGCAGAAUCCAGAAGUACUUCGUCAGUUAACUUCACCUCAGAUGAUGCACCAAAUGAUGUCUUUACAGCAGCUUCUACCUCAGCUUAACCAACAGCAAUCUGCUUUGGACCCUACCCAGACAGGGCUUCUACA